rnacentral:lncRNA from 1 species
AGCUCCGGCCCCAUCCCUGUGAUGAAUUUUGCACAAGCUUGUGCCAAGAGGGCAGCCAAUGCCAAUGCCGGUUUCUUGAAGGAGUACAGGGUAUACUUUGAGCUGAGGAGUGAGUAACCAUGGAACAGUUCUCCCUGCCCAACCUUACCAUGUCCAUCCAUCUCUUUCCCAGCUCCUGAAGCAGGCCAUCAAGGAUGAGACUGGCUCUCUGCUGCCCUCUCCUGACUAUAAUCAGAACAGCAUCGCCUCCUGUCAUCAUUCUCAGGAGCAGUUGGCCCUGGUGGAGGAGAGCCCAGCUGAUAACAUGCUGGCAGCCUCACUCUUCCCUGUGAGACGAUGCUGAGCCUGCAGCCCUGCUUGAUUAUUUGUGCUUCCCUGCCUGGGGUUGGGGCUGGGUCCUAGGGGCUUAUAGCACAGAUGGACUAUGGUCAGGAGACUCCUUAAUCCCUGGGAACCAACAAACUGUGCUCUGCAGGGUGGGCCGUCUGGUCGCGACCAUGUGGUGCUGACUGGCUCGGCCGGACCAAAGGAACUCUGGGAAAUGGUGUGGGAACAUGGCGCCUAUGUGCUUGUCUCCCUGGGUCUGCCUGAUACCAAGGAGAAGGUGAGGCGAGUGGAGGGACAGUAUGUGUUGCUCCAGGAACGGGGCGGGGAGAGGAGUAGUAUAUGGUGUUGUUUGCUGUUCAGCUAGGGCAUGGGUGGAAAUUUUGGAAGCUGACUGUUUUGGUCCUAGCCACAAGACAUCUGGCCAAUGGAGAUGCAGCCUAUUGUCACAGACAUGGUGACAGUGCACAGAGUGGCUGAGAGCAACACAGCUGGCUGGCCCAGUACCCUCAUCAGAGUUAUACAUGUAGGUGUUGAGAUCUCAGGGCUUGGGGCAGAGGGCAGUGAUAUGAGAAUCCCAUGCUGACUUCCCUCUGCCACCCUCCUGGAGCACUAAUGCUGGUAUUGCCCUUCCUCCAGGGGGACAGUGGGACGGAAAGGCAGGUUCAAUGCCUGCAGUUUCCACACUGCCAGACUGGGAGUGAGCUCCCAGCUAACACCCUACUGACCUUCCUUGAUGCUGUGGGCCAGUGCUGCUCCCGGGGCAAUAGCAAGAAGCCAGGGACCCUGCUCAGUCACUCCAGGUGCCAUCGACAAACGUCAUGUGUUAACUUGGGUUAUGGGUCAAAGGGUCUCCCAAGGCUCCGUCUCUUCUGCUCCAUUUGCAGGGAUUUGGUAGGGCUCUCUCUAGCCUGGCUGGCCAAUCAAGUGCCUAGCAUUAUUUCCUAGUCCUUAGAACUAAUCUUGGUUUCCCCAUGUGCCUGGACACUACCCCAUCUCCAGAGGUCCCACAUCUAACUCUAGGUCACUUACAGCAAGGUCACAUACCAGCUGGGCACCUUCUUGGCUAUGGAACAGCUGCUACAGCAAGCAGGGACCGAGCGCACAGUGGAUGUCUUCAGUGUGGCCCUGAAGCAGACACAGGCCUGUGGCCUUAAGACCCCAACGCUGGUGAGAGGCAAAGAGGGAGGGGCUUACUGUGAAAGGGAUCAAAGACAGGCCUGGUCUUGUCCCAGCCACAGAUGACUAUUAGGUUACCACAUCCAGGUCACCACUAGGUGGCUCUGUGGACCACCGUGCCCUGUCCAGA